GGUUAAGCGAAUAAGCGUACACGGUGGAUGCCUAGGCAGUCAGAGGCGAUGAAGGACGUGCUAAUCUGCGAAAAGCGUCGGUAAGCUGAUAUGAAGCGAUAUAGCCGGCGAUGUCCGAAUGGGGAAACCCAGUGCAAUGCGUUGCACUAUCAUUAACUGAAUCCA
rnacentral:rRNA from 1 species